rnacentral:tRNA from 1 species
GAAGGUAUAGCUUAAUGGUAGAGUGCAUGCCUAGCAUGCAUGAGGUCCUGGGUUCAAUUCCCAGUACCUCCA